AGGUGCAGAGAUUGUCCCUGUAGAAUGGGAAGAAGACAUGAGUGGACAAAACGACUUAGGUAUUAUAGUCACAUUUCCUUCUAGGAGCUGGGCCUUCAUUUCCCAUCAGUGGUAUUUAUCAGCCUCGGCUACUCAGCAAGGAUUCUGCCUUCGUAAAUUUCCAGAAGAGCAGCAGGCACCAAGUUCUACUUUCAUGGAUAUUUCAAGACUCUAGGAGAAGCCUAUCAAGGUCUUUCAGGAGACAUCUUACUAUGCUCCACUUGGAUGGCAACCCCAGUAGGAGACUUCAGAUUGUACAGUUCAGUGAGCAUCCACCCAAGGAUGCAGUGCCAGUUUCUUCUUUUCCAGAUACUCUCAGUCUCUAAAAGUGAUUAUCUUGCAACCCUGCCGAUCUCUUGGCUUCAUGAGGAAUGAGGAAGCAAGCCUCUAGAAAUAUCUUUCACCAAGGACCCACGAGAACACUCGCCCUUGGAAACCAGCUGCUGUGCAGUAAGAAACCCAAGUCACAUGGAUGGCCACGUGUUGGCACUCUGGUUGAGAGCCCCACCUGGGCUCCUAGCUGACAGUCAGCAUCACCUAGCAGCCAUAGACCCUGACUUGUUUCCCUUUGUUUUUUUCUAUCACCACACUGGUUUCCCCAGAGGACAUUGACGUUGACAGAGAAAGACCAAAGGAAUCUUUGUGACUUCAUCCAAAUGUCACAGCAAGACUGAAGCCAAUUUGAACGAGAUGUUGUUAUUCGCAUCUGAAGGAGUCUUGAUAUAAAGGUGAGGACACUGGAAUAAUGGCUGGAACUUCAGUACCGAAGAGAACAGUUUGGGGAAGGAGUGGAAGGAAAAAUAACUACUUAAACUGCCCGAGGUGCCUGAGGUUUUCCUAAAGAAGCAGCCAGAUUAUUACGCUGGGGAUCCUGCUCUGCCAAUGGUAAGUUGACCCUGGCCCAGGAUGAAUAACAAUCUUUGCCAAGUUUCAGUGAAUUCCAAUAGCAGUCAUUUUACUAACUGUGAUUUUGAGGGGGCCAGCGGGAGGUGCAGGCUGGUGGAAAGCCUUAGGGAGUUUCAGAAAUACUUAAGUGUUGGACUCAUUUUAGAGGCAUCUCUUCAGAUGGAAGAAUGAGCUGCCUCUAUUUCACAGAAUGGCUGCCUGCUGCCAGAUCAGGAUUUCCCCCAUGAAACCUCUCCUAGUGAAUAGGUUUGCAAUAGCAAGUGACUCAGACAUAUGGAGCUUCUCCCCAAUUAAAAGAAAAUCCUUACUUAAAAUCAAAAAGACAUUUUAAUUUUACCUCUUGGGAUAAAAGAAAAUAAUAGCAAUAAGUAUUUUCCAUUUUGCGUAGUUCUAUAAACCUUAUCUCUAGGAGUUUUAUUUUACUUCCAGCUCAGGGAGGGCUGUGGUUUCAGGGUUGCAGAGGGCUUCUUUUGGAUGUGGUCGCUGAAGCUGUCUGGAGCUAAUGUUUUAUUAGAAGUGACAUCAAAAUGCAGAAAGCAAUCCCUGUGAAAAGGAGCAGAAAGUGGUCCGUGCCAUGACGCUCCCAGAAAUAUAAGAACAGUGAAAAAUUUAAGACUCAGAAGCAAAAACAGGAAGGACCAGAAAUUCACUUUCAGAAGAGCUGGAGGACUUCCUCCGUAAUCCCAUCUUCUCUCCACGUGUUGGUGUAACUAAUCCUCGCCAUCUGCACAAACAGAUCAAGGGGCAUGCAUCUUUGCAGUGUUUCUCUGGGAGGCCUCUUCUCUCUCCAGGUUGAGGGGGAGGACUUCGGCACUAAUUGAUUCCACCUUAGAAGGCAGGAUAGAUAGUUAAUAAGCACAGUUUCCUUAGUACCUUUCAGAAGGAUCUGCACGAAGUUACAGAAAAAAAAAAAAAAAAGGAGUUGAACUUUGGAGAUUUUCUAGCUUAUUAAAUUUUCCAGCAGUUUAAUGAUGGAUCAAAUACAUAUCAGCAAGUUUAAAACCAACUAAUACCAGGUAGAGAGAAGCAACUGGGCUUUUGGGCAAUUCAGUGGGGACUGGGGAAUGCCGGGAACCGAUUUGAAUAUUCCACCUCACUUUGUGUGACUGAGGUGUUGACAGGGCUAGGAUGGGUCUGUGUCACGCUCCGGCUGGGUCCAGAAGAAAGGUAAACAUAAGAUUCCUAAACCCUCCUCCCCGACCAUGCUCUAUGAAUGCAUCAAUCUUUUAUUUAUUGGGCAUACAGGAUAAAGCAACAGCGGGAUCUGUGUUCAAGGAGCUCAAGUGCAAUUGGGGAAUGGACACAUAAAGAACUAACAAUACAAGAGCAUAAUUAUUGGAAUAAUUCAGAGAUGUAGGAAGUGAUUGCAAACUUCUGGUGGGAAGAGACAAUUUCUUAUACUACUAAUUUCCUGAAGAAAAAUGUCUCAAUGUCCUAAACACCUUGCAGUCUGUGGGACAGGCUGUUUAAAUAGCACGAGUGAAGUGGAGAUUUGGCAAUCGGUGAUUCACAUGUGGAGGAUGAAACAUGAAGAGGGUGAGCAGAAAAUGUGGCGGAGAGGCUGAGUUUCUACCACUGUUACACAGGAAAAAAAGACAGGAAGUAAGCGAUCAGGAAAUGCAGUAACAAUAGCCUUUUCCUGGAAGAGUGGCUCUGAAGCGAUGACUAAAGGUCCAGACGUGCUGGGUUUAACUGGCAGAGCCCAAGACCAGGGGCCACCGUGGAGAGAGGGGCAGAGGUUUAUUUGUGGGUUGGACCCAGAAGCAAAGGAACUCAAUACUGAGAAAGGACCAGGAGAAAAAUGAAUUAAUGAAGCCUCUGCAAAGCUCUGAGUGAAGAAUGCUAUGGUGGCCAUCCAUGGUCUGCCCUGCCCAGUGCCCUUCAUCCACACACACAGUAAAUCUCUUGCUUUUGGAAACCACAUCUCUCUGAUACUGAUCUUAUGGUUUGGAUGGAGAUGGCACUACUCCCUGGCUCUAAUGGGGACUCAACUCCAACCACUGAGAACACCACAUCUUUCUGGCCAUGGUAACUAAUUCUGGGGUGGGCCCUUGACUAAUGCCAGAUGAAACAGAGACAAGCCUGAACAUCUUGUUCAAAUUCUUGGGAGAGAGAUCAUUUCUUUCUGUUGGGAUUGCUAAGCUGGCAGAAUGUACACCUAGAGCUGCUGGAAACCAUCUUGCCACCACAGAAGGAGAACCUGCCACAGAAGGAAGCCAACAUAAAGGAAAGCAGAGCCAGGGAUGGGUAAUAAUUCCUGAUGACACCCUAUGAGUAUCUGGAUCCAGGCGUACGCGAAUCCAGACUACUCAGGUGUUUGUUAUAUGAACAAAUAAAGUCAUUUUUUUUUUUGUUCCAGUCAGUGUGAGAUUUUUAAAAAUCUCCAAGAAUUUGAAAUCUAAAUAUUCUAUACCCAGAAAUGAAGAACCUAUCAAUGUAUAAGUUUAUAGCCUGGAGAAAUGUCAGAAUAUUCUGUUCAUUUUCAUGGUGUUACAAAAAAGAAAAAUAUCUCAGUGAUGAGACUGUUUCCCUGUUGGCUGGUUUCCAAAAUAUGUCAGGAUGAGAAAUCAUAUUAUUCUUUUUCUCGCUCCCUAAUGUGUUUCUGACAACCACAUGGUGUUCAGAUAGCCACUGUUCAUGUACAAAUUCCCUCCCUGUCUGGCCAACCUUAUCGUGCUCAGUCGUAUCUCUGUUUUGCAAAGACUAGGUGUCCCUUCUCCCUCUUGUCUUUGCUCUACACAUCCCAUCUCUUAUCUGGAGCUCUGUGGAAGCCAAGUUUCUCUUUUCAGAUGAGCAUCUCCCCACACUAACAUAUGAAUCACAUUGACAUUACAGAUUGUCCUUACCCUCCAGGUCUCGAAGAAAAGAGAAGGCUAGGAAGGCUUAAGUAGUUGUACGGGUGGCAAACUACGGAAAGAGAAAUGAGACUGCUGAGCCCACAAAUGCAAACAGAAGUUCACUUCAGCCCUGUGUUAGAAGGAUCAAACAAGAGAGCAAGUUCGUGCUGUCCAUCUGUUACCAGGAGCCAUAUCUUAGACCCCCGAUGUAGGAUUGUAAAACAGAGUGGGCCCAAGGCCAAGAGGGCAUUGAAACUGGGAUUUCCCAAUUCCAAAUGUCUGCUUUACACUGUAGGAAAACCAUGCUCAUUUGGUGAGAAUUUAUAUCAUAUUCUGUACCAGUUUGCAAUGGUCAGAUGAGGCCCAGCACUGGCCUGAGCAUCCCUAGAUUAGAGAUUGAAAACUCCACUGCCCGUGGGUGCCAGGAAGCUGGCAGGGUUGGGUGAAGGGGACUGAGUGGGGCCUGAGUACUCGCUUGCAUAUUUAAAGGGAGCCGCCACUGUUCAGCCCCAUCCAGGGGGCAUGUGCAUGUGCAUGUGCACUGCGGCUGCCAGCUCUUCAAUGCUUCACAGAAGGGCUGGAAACCCAGAAGCCAUCAGUUUUAAACUCUGACUUGACAAUAACAUCAGUGAUAGUGCCAGGUGGCUGGAUUUCGCGUUGUGCUUAAACUUAGUUUAGUUCACUUUGGACAGAACCCAAAGUGUCGUGGUUUAGAGCACAAACUCUGGUGUCCAGCCAACCUGGAUUUUUGGCUUGGCUUUGACACUUACUAAUGUCAUGACCCCUUAGCCAAGCGACUUAGUGUCUUGGCGAUGCUUCCACAUCUGCUUCGUGGGUGGGGUGAAGGGAGCGACAGAAUUUGAGGUUAAAUGACACAAUGCUCUUGAAACUCCUACGCUGUGAUUACAUAAAAGUGUAAAGCUUGAAUAAAUGGUGGCAAUUCUAGGACUAGAGCUGACAGAAAUCCAUGGAAGAUAUUUUUAUGUUCACCAGAAACAGAAAGUCAAAGAGACAAUAUUGUGCAACGGUUGAGGGUGGCAGAAACCCUGGAGUCAAGUCUGCUCUCCUUCUAGCCAUGAGUCUUUGGACUCAGUUUUCUCGUCUGUAAAAUGGGGAUGUAAGGUUGCCCAUCCCAAAAGAUUCUGAGGAGAAUCACAUGAGUUAACACACAUAACUGAGUUAACAUUCCUGAAAUACUUAGAACAAAGUCUGACACACAGUCUGGACUAUGGGAGUGAAGGGUUAUAAUACUAUUAUUGCAAUAAAGUUUUAAGGGCUCUUGUGAUGACUUUGUCACUUAAGUAAGUCUACACAUCUCUGGAACUUGUGGUUUACAUUAUACUAACUUUAAUAACACCUGGUGCAAUUAUUUUUUACCUUAAAAAAGUUGGAAAAGUUUACUUACUAUUAUAAGGGCCACUUCAGAUCCACAAUGAAUGCUACAAAAAUGCAGAGUAUAGAAAAUGAAUGCAAUUAUGUCAAGCCCUUUAAAAGUAGAGUUUACAAAACUGACCUAGAAAGAGUCAAGUAGAUUAGAAAAAAAUUGUUGAGAGCCUAUUGUUUGCAGUUCACAUUGCUAGGCCUAGAAACAGAGCUAAAACGAUAAAUGAGGCAGGUCAGCACCUCUACUGCAAGCUAACGUUCAUGUUCACACACGCUGGCACACGGCUGGCGUGCGGGCAUUUCCAGAGAUCUUUUACUACUCUCAGAGGGUACCUGGUAGUGCUUGUGUACAGGGGAUAAAGAUGAAUACUGAGUUCAGAAGACCUGCAGACAAGAGCUGCUCCGGGCGGGCGGGCGGCACAAGUACCAAGGCCGGAGUGGGGAGCGCAGCCCGGACGUCGGAGGUCGGCGCGCGGUAGGACAGGGGACCCGCGUAGGGGGCGGGUGCGCUCGCCGAGUUAUUCUUCCCAAAGCGUAGGGAAUGAGAGUGGGUCUCCAAAAGAUUUCGAUCUGAAUAUCGCGGGUGUCUGAAAGAAGGCGAGACUGACAUCUUCUGCCCUGGCUCCAAGCGCGUGUGGAUGCGCAGUUCCGAGAGCGCGUGCAAGAACCCAGAAGAAGCGAAAUGAAGGGACAGCCCCGGGGCGAGGGGUAGG